GCGUCAUUGGAUUGUCCUAAGACCUUUCACACCUCAUACCUCAGACCCAGAGCAAGAAUGGUGAGGACAGAGGGUCUAUUUUAGUGAGCCACUCACAUGAGUGCUGGAAUCUAUAUAUCUACCCUCUUUCUGUCUUCGUUGUCACAAAAAAACAAGCCUGUGACUAUUUCUCAGCCGGUAAGGGGAGACACACUAAAUUGCAGUCAUGUCUGAAGCGUAAGUACCCAGAUCUCACUAUCGCUCAUCAUCAUACCAUGACCAUGGCUCUUUAAAUUACAAACAGAUGUAACAUUAUUCUGUUAUAAUUCUACUUUUUCUCUUUCUAUGUGGACACCAUCCAUCCUAUACUGUACAGGCCACCG